rnacentral:rRNA from 2 species
UGGGGAAUAUUGCACAAUGGGGGAAACCCUGAUGCAGCGACGCCGCGUGAACGAAGAAGGUAUUCGUAUCGUAAAGUUCUGUCCUAUGGGAAGAUAAUGACAGUACCAUAGAAGAAAGCUCCGGCUAAAUACGUGCCAGCAGCCGCGGUAAUACGUAUGGAGCGAGCGUUGUCCGGAAUUAUUGGGCGUAAAGGGUACGCAGGCGGUUUAAUAAGUCGAAUGUUAAAGAUCGGGGCUCAACCCCGUAAAGCAUUUGAAACUGAUAAACUUGAGUAGUGGAGAGGAAAGUGGAAUUCCUAGUGUAGUGGUGAAAUACGUAGAUAUUAGGAGGAAUACCAGUAGCGAAGGCGACUUUCUGGACACAAACUGACGCUGAGGUACGAAAGCGUGGGGAGCAAACAGG